rnacentral:rRNA from 1 species
CUGGUUGAUCCUGCCAGUAGUGAUAUGCUUGUUUCAAAGAUUAAGCCAUGCAUGUCUAAGUAUAAGCGAACUUAUACAGUGAAACUGCGGAUGCUCAUUAAAACAGUUUGAAUUUAUUUGAUGAAUGUAUGAGAAUACUACUUGGAUAACCGUAGUAAUUCUAGAGCUAAUACAUGCAACGACGCCCGACCGUUUCACUACGGAAGGGCUGUAUUUAUUGGAUACCAAAACCAUCCUUCCCUCGGGAAGUUUUGUUUGAUGAUUCACAAUAACUGAUCGGAUCGCCACUGUGGUGGCGACAGGUCAUUCAACAUUCUGCCCUAUCAGCUUUCGAUGGUUGUGUAGUGGACAACCAUGGCCAUAACGGGUAACGGAGAAUCAGGGUUCGAUUCCGGAGAAGGAGCUUGAGAAUUGGCUACUACAUCUAAGGAAGGCAGCAGGCGCGCAAAUUACCCAAUCCCGAUUCGGGGAGGUAGUGACAAAAAAUAACAAUACCGGGCCUUUUUGGGCUUGGUAAUUGGAAUGAGGGAGAGUUAAACGGACCAUCGAGUAUCCAUUGGAGGGCAAGUCUGGUGCCAGCAGCUGCGGUAAUACCAGCUCCAAUAGCGUAUAUUAAAGUUGUUGCAGUUAAAAAGCUCGUAGUUGGACUUGUGUGCGCUGUCCGCGGGUGGCCUGCGCCCAAAAGGGCGUUUCGGUUCGGCCCCGGUGGCGCCUUGAAAUCUGCAGCUGGGGGGACGUUGGCCUUAACUGGUCGGCGACCGCACGCCGGCUGCUCGGUUACUGUGAGAAAAUUAGAGUGUUCAAGGCAGGCAUUGGGUGCAAUUGAAUACAUUAGCAUGGAAUAAUAAAAUAUGGCUCCUGCCGUAUUUUGUUGGUUUUGACUGGUGGGAGUAAUGAUUGAUAGGGACGGUUGGGGGUGCUAGUAUUGAGCGGCCAGAGGUGAAAUUCAUGGAUUCGCUCAAGACUAACUUAUGCGAAAGCAUUCACCAAGGACGUCCUCUUUAAUCAAGAACGAAAGUUGGGGGAUCGAAGACGAUCAGAUACCGUCGUAGUCUCAACCAUAAACUAUGUCGACUUGGGAUCGGCGGUAGUUUUUUCAUUAAGACACUGUCGGGACCACGGGAGAAAUCAAAGUGUCUGGACUCUGGGGGAAGUAUGGUCGCAAGGCUGAAACUUGAAGGAAUUGACGGAAGGGCACCACCAGGAGUGGAGCCUGCGG